CCAAAAGGGUGGAUGCAGUCCGUACCAAGAACUGACACAGGUGCCCCUCGCUGAGAAGGCGAAGGCGUGUCGGAAUUAAUCGUGUUAAGGGAACUCGGCAAAUUGGCCCUAUAACUUCGGGAUAAGGGGUGCCUGCCCAGAGAUUGGGCAGGUCGCAGUGACAAGGGCGCUCCGACUGUCUAAUAACAACAUAGCAGACUGCAACUCCGAAAGGACUAGUAUAGUCUGUGAUUCCUGCCCAGUGCGAGUAUCUGAACACCGGGUUCAACCGGACGAAGGACUCGUAAACGGCGGGGGUAACUAUGACCCUCUUAAGGUAGCGUAGUACCUUGUCGCUUAAUUGGCGACUUGCAUGAAUGGAAUAACGAGAGCGCUACUGUCCCUAACACGAAUCCGUUGAACCUUUUGUACUAGUGCAGAGACUAGUGACUCCUUAUGGGAAGUGAAGACCCCGUGGAGCUUUACUGCAGCCUGUCGUUGGAUUACGGUAUUACCUGCGCAGGGUAGAUGGGAGGCGUCGAGCCGGUCCUUGUGGGGAUCGGGGAGCCAACGAUGAGACACCAUCCUGGUUUUAUUGUAAUUCUAACUGAGUUUCUCAGGACAUCGAUAGGUGGGCAGUUUGGGUGGGGCGCCACACCCUCGAAAAAAUAUCAAGGGUGCCCUAAGGUCAACUCAAGCGGGUCAGAAACCCGCUGGAGAGUGUCAAGAGCAUAAGUUGGCCUGACGCGAUUGAGCAUAACAAUCAAUCGCGAGAGGAAACUCGGGUCUAACGAACCAAUACGCCCUGCAGGUGAGGUCUAUUGACUACAGAAAAGCUACCCCGGGGAUAACAGAGUCGUCGCCGGCAAGAGCACAUAUCGACCCGGCGGCUUGCUACCUCGAUGUCGGUUCUUUCCAUCCUGGCUGUGCAGCAGCAGCCAAGGGUGAGGUUGUUCGCCUAUUAAAGGGGAUCGUGAGCUGGGUUUAGACCGUCGUGAGACAGGUCGGUUACUAUCUAUAAGGAGUGCAGGAAGUCUGAAGGGAAGAAUGAAAUAGUACGAGAGGAACUUUCAUUCGGCGCCUCUGGUCGAUCGGUUGCCUGACAAGGCACUGCCGAGCAGCUACGCGCCACGUGAUAAAAGCUGAAAGCAUCUAAGCUUGAAACAUACCCCAAAAAGAGACUUCAUUAAAGACACGGAUAGAAGAUCCGGUUGAUAGGAUCGGGAUGUACGCACGAAGGCAACGACGUGUUCAGUCCGCGAUUACUAAUUGUCCUAAUCUUCCAU
rnacentral:rRNA from 1 species